GCCACUAUACUUUAACAUAAAAGAACCGGUUUGCAACCGGAAAACAGAGAUUUGAUCUCUUAGUGACA
rnacentral:tRNA from 1 species